rnacentral:rRNA from 1 species
CGGACGGGUGAGUAAUGUCUGGGAAACUGCCCGAUGGAGGGGGAUAACUACUGGAAACGGUAGCUAAUACCGCAUAACGUCGCAAGACCAAAGAGGGGGACCUUCGGGCCUCUUGCCAUCGGAUGUGCCCAGAUGGGACUAGCUAGUAGGUGGGGUAACGGCUCACCUAGGCGACGAUCCCUAGCUGGUCUGAGAGGAUGACCAGCCACACUGGAACUGAGACACGGUCCAG